GCUGGGCAUGGUGGCUCAUGCCUGUAAUCCCAGCACUUUGGGAGGCUGAGGUGGGUGGAUCACCUGAGGUCAGGAGUUCAAGACCAGCCUGGCCAACAUGAUGAAAACCCGUCUCUA
rnacentral:SRP_RNA from 2 species